rnacentral:rRNA from 1 species
CUUAACACAUGCAAGUCGAACGGAAAGGCCCUGCUUUUGUGGGGUGCUCGAGUGGCGAACGGGUGAGUAACACGUGAGUAACCUGCCCUUGACUUUGGGAUAACUUCAGGAAACUGGGGCUAAUACCGGAUAGGAGCUCCUGCUGCAUGGUGGGGGUUGGAAAGUUUCGGCGGUUGGGGAUGGACUCGCGGCUUAUCAGCUUGUUGGUGGGGUAGUGGCUUACCAAGGCUUUGACGGGUAGCCGGCCUGAGAGGGUGACCGGCCACAUUGGGACUGAGAUACGGCCCAGACUCCUACGGGAGGCAGCAGUGGGGAAUAUUGCACAACGGGCGGAAGCCUGAUGCAGCAACGCCGCGUGCGGGAUGACGGCCUUCGGGUUGUAAACCGCUUUCGCCUGUGACGAAGCGUGAGUGACGGUAAUGGGUAAAGAAGCACCGGCUAACUACGUGCCAGCAGCCGCGGUGAUACGUAGGGUGCGAGCGUUGUCCGGAUUUAUUGGGCGUAAAGGGCUCGUAGGUGGUUGAUCGCGUCGGAAGUGUAAUCUUGGGGCUUAACCCUGAGCGUGCUUUCGAUACGGGUUGACUUGAGGAAGGUAGGGGAGAAUGGAAUUCCUGGUGGAGCGGUGGAAUGCGCAGAUAUCAGGAGGAACACCAGUGGCGAAGGCGGUUCUCUGGGCCUUUCCUGACGCUGAGGAGCGAAAGCGUGGGGAGCGAACAGGCUUAGAUACCCUGGUAGUCCACGCUGUAAACGGUGGGUACUAGGUGUGGGGUCCAUUCCACGGGUUCCGUGCCGUAGCUAACGCUUUAAGUACCCCGCCUGGGGAGUACGGCCGCAAGGCUAAAACUCAAAGGAAUUGACGGGGCCCCGCACAAGCGGCGGAGCAUGCGGAUUAAUUCGAUGCAACGCGUAGAACCUUACCUGGGUUUGACAUGGAUCGGGAGUGCUCAGAGAUGGGUGUGCCUCUUUUGGGGUCGGUUCACAGGUGGUGCAUGGCUGUCGUCAGCUCGUGUCGUGAGAUGUUGGGUUAAGUCCCGCAACGAGCGCAACCCUUGUUCACUGUUGCCAGCACGUUAUGGUGGGGACUCAGUGGAGACCGCCGGGGUCAACUCGGAGGAAGGUGGGGAUGACGUCAAGUCAUCAUGCCCCUUAUGUCCAGGGCUUCACGCAUGCUACAAUGGCUGGUACAGAGAGUGGCGAGCCUGUGAGGGUGAGCGAAUCUCGGAAAGCCGGUCUCAGUUCGGAUUGGGGUCUGCAACUCGACCUCAUGAAGUCGGAGUCGCUAGUAAUCGCAGAUCAGCAACGCUGCGGUGAAUACGUUCCCGGGGCUUGUACACACCGCCCGUCAAGUCAUGAAAGUUGGUAACACCCGAAGCCGGUGGCCUAACCGUUGUGGGGGAGCCGUCGAAGGUGGGACUGGUGAUUAGGACUAAG